rnacentral:misc_RNA from 1 species
CCUAUCUUUAUUCCUAUACCUCCUAUAGCAUGUAACAAUGUCAGUCAAUUGCAUAUAAACAUUAAUGCAAGUGAUUCUUGUUAUAAAAAUAAAACCAGUUAUUUUUCUUUGAAAAUUAUCUGGCUUUGUGUAAUUUUGAAGAUUCAUGAUCUAUUGGUGCAAGUUUGAAUGACGUGCAACAGAAUUGGAUUACUAUGGUUAUCAAAAGGUUUGCUGUGUGUUGAUUUUCUUAUUUAUUUGGAGAGCUUGGUCAUAAUGAUUGAAUUGUGUUAACCAUUUUAUGUACGCUUGUCCCCAACUAGGAAAUAUGUUUUUCAUUGUAUAUGUCCCUCUUUAGGUAUUCUCGUCUAAUGGUGGCUGCAGAGUUUGAUGAUAAAGUUUGAGGCAAGUGUUGAAUCACUCGUCUAUGUAGUUGAAACUUUUAACCAUAUUCAUGAAGGCAAAAAGCUUUGUCUUCAUGAUCAACUUAACUAGUUCAAAUAAAGGUCAAGGCAAGCCAAUGUCUAUGCAUGCUCACUAAAAUUGUAUUAUGUUGCUGAAUAAAUUCGCAUAAUCUUCUAAUUAGAAAUUUCUUUUGUUUGGAAAACCCUGUAAUUGCUGUAUGGUGUGUAAUUCAGCUACCUAAUUUAUUGAAUAGGACCAUGAAUGGAGGCAAGC